rnacentral:rRNA from 1 species
GGGGUGAAGUCGUAACAAGGUAACCGUAGGGGAACCUGCAGUUGGAUCACCUCCUUACCUUAAAGAAGC